rnacentral:tRNA from 1 species
GAGGGUACAGCUCAGUGGUAGAGUGCAUGCUUAGCAUGCACGAGGUCCUGGGUUCAACCCCAAUACUGCCA